GCGGCCGCGCCAACUCCGGCGUCGGGAACACUCACCGCAGGACGCUUUGCCCUCCUUGGAAUCGCAGUAGCCGCAGUGGUAGCCGGCCCUGAGGCCCUUGUAUUCCACCACCGACGCCAUGGCCGCCGCGAGGGUCCGCUCGGGCCGACCACGCCUCUUGGCGCCCGGGGCCGACCUCGGCGAAGCGCUGGGGCCCGCGGCGGGAGGGGUGGAGAGCGAAGCCUGGCGCGGGGACCCGUGGGCGGGGAUGGUGGUCGUGUCCCCAAGCCCUGCGUUUGGGCCGGUGCUUCCCACAGCUGUGCGUUAUCAGCCCCAUUUCACAGUUUGCUAAAGCAGAGGCGUACUACUAUCAAUAGCAUCAAGAAAUGAUGAUGGAAGAAGCAUGGAAAUACAAUAUGGUUCCAAAAUGGGAAACUAAAAUAGAGGAAGAGGAAAAGAGAUCACAACGUGAGAAAACAGAAGAUACUAAAAAAUGGGACUAUCUAGUGCCUGAGAGGGAACUGAGUCUUACAAAGAAACAUAUACCAGGCUGAACAAACCAGAGGCCUCAGAGACCACAAACACCGACUGCUCCCUCAAAGAAUUCCCAGUGAAAUACUUUCCCCUAAAAUACUAACACGGGAAAAGGAUGGAAAGCAUGAAAAUAUCCAGAAAACACACAAAACUGAAACCAGUAAGCACAAGGUGGCAUGGACAAAGGAACAGAUGAAGGGACACCAAGACCGAAUGAUCUGAGGGAGAGAACUCAAAGCAAAGACACGCUCAGAAGCGCUCCAGCCCCGUUCCAUCUUUCCUAAAAUCUCAAGUGGAAAAAGAGAAGGUGAAAGAGUUUGAAUGGGUCACAGCUUAUCCAAUUUUGCAACCUUACCAGAAAGCACUUAGGAAAGUGAUGAUUCUGAUGGAGAAAUAAGAAAAAAGAGAGUAUAAAAUUAAGAAACCACUCUGAAGGGAAAAAAAAAAAAAAAAA
rnacentral:lncRNA from 1 species